CCUACGGGAGGCAGCAGUGGGGAAUAUUGCACAAUGGGGGAAACCCUGAUGCAGCGACGCCGCGUGAGUGAAGAAGUAAUUCGUUAUGUAAAGCUCUAUCAGCAGGGAAGAAAAUGACGGUACCUGAGUAAUAAGCCCCUGCUAACUACGUGCCAGCAGCCGAGGUAAUACGUAGGGGGCAAGCGUUAUCCGGAUUUACUGGGGGUAAAGGGAGCGGAGACGGCAGUGCAAGUCUGGAGUGAAAGGCGGGGGGUCAACCCCCGGACUGCUCUGGAAACUGUACGGCUGGAGUGCAGGAGAGGUAAGUGGAAUUCCUAGUGUAGCGGUGAAAUGCGUAGAUAUUAGGAGGAACACCAGUGGCGAAGGCGGCUUACUGGACUGAAACUGACGUUGAGGCUCGAAAGCGUGGGGAGCAAACAGGAUUAGAUACCCUAGUAGUC
rnacentral:rRNA from 1 species